rnacentral:rRNA from 1 species
AGAGUUUGAUCCUGGCUCAGGAUGAACGCUAGCUACGGGCUUAACACAUGCAAGUCGAACGGAUUCUGGAUUCGUCUGGAAUUAGUGGCAAACGGGUGAGUAACACGUAUCCAACCACCCUGCGACUCGGGGAUAGCCUCUUGAAAGGGAGAUUAAUAUCCGAUGUACUGUUUUUGGUGCAUGCCAUUUUCAGUAAAGUUUUUUUACGGUCGCUGACGGGGAUGCGUUCCAUUAGAUAGUCGGUGUGGUAACGGCUCACCGAGUCUAUGAUGUCUAGGGGUUUUGAGAGGAAGGCCCCCCACACUGGGACUGAGACACGGCCCAGACUCCUACGGGAGGCAGCAGUGAGGAAUAUUGGACAAUGGAUGGAAAUCUGAUCCAGCCAUGCCGCGUGCAGGAAGACGGCCUUAUGGGUUGUAAACUGCUUUUAUACGGGAGCAAUAAGGGUUACGAGUAAUCCGAUGAGAGUACUGUAUGAAUAAGGAUCGGCUAACUCCGUGCCAGCAGCCGCGGUAAUACGGAGGAUCCGAGCGUUAUCCGGAAUUAUUGGGUUUAAAGGGUGCGUAGGCGGCCAUUUAAGUCAGUGGUGAAAUUUUGCAGCUUAACUGUAACAGUGCCGUUGAUACUGUUUGGCUAGGAUUUGGUUGUAGUGUGCGGAAUGUGUGGUGUAGCGGUGAAAUGCUUAGAUAUCACACAGAACACCGAUUGCGCCGGCAGCACACUAAGUCAUUAUUGACGCUGAGGCACGAAAGUGUGGGGAUCAAACAGGAUUAGAUACCCUGGUAGUCCACACUGUAAACGAUGAUAACUCGCUGCCGGCGAUACACAGUCGGUGGCCAAGCGAAAGCAUUAAGUUAUCCACCUGGGGAGUACGACCGCAAGGUUGAAACUCAAAGGAAUUGACGGGGGCCCGCACAAGCGGAGGAACAUGUGGUUUAAUUCGAUGAUACGCGAGGAACCUUACCCGGGCUCGAACGGUGCAUGAAUAUACGAGAGAUUGUAUAGUCCUUCGGGACAUGUAUCGAGGUGCUGCAUGGUUGUCGUCAGCUCGUGCCGUGAGGUGUCGGCUUAAGUGCCAUAACGAGCGCAACCCUUGUCAUUAGUUGCCAUCAGGUCAAGCUGGGGACUUUAAUGAGACUGCCACCGUAAGGUGUGAGGAAGGGGGGGAGGACGUCAAAUCAGCACGGCCCUUAUGUCCGGGGCGACACACGUGUUACAAUGGGAGGUACAGAGGGCAGCUAUCCGGUGACGGAAUGCUAAUCUCCAAAACCUUUCUCAGUUCGGAUUGGAGUCUGCAACUCGACUCCAUGAAGGUGGAUUCGCUAGUAAUCGCGCAUCAGCCAUGGCGCGGUGAAUACGUUCCCGGGCCUUGUACACACCGCCCGUCA